GACGAACGCUGGCGGCGUGCUUAACACAUGCAAGUCGAACGGAAAGGCCCUGCUUUUGUGGGGUGCUCGAGUGGCGAACGGGUGAGUAACACGUGAGUAACCUGCCCUUGACUUUGGGAUAACUUCAGGAAACUGGGGCUAAUACCGGAUAGGAGCUCCUGCUGCAUGGUGGGGGUUGGAAAGUUUCGGCGGUUGGGGAUGGACUCGCGGCUUAUCAGCUUGUUGGUGGGGUAGUGGCUUACCAAGGCUUUGACGGGUAGCCGGCCUGAGGGGGUGACCGGCCAAAUGGGGGUGGGGAUAGGGCCCGAGUCCCUCGGGGGGGAAGGAGGGGGGAAUAUGGCCAAAGGGGGGGAGGCCGGAUGCAGCAACCCCGGGGGGGGGAAGGCGGCCUUCGGGUUGGAAACGGCUUUCGCCUGGGAGGAAGGGUGGGGACGGGAAAUGGGGAAGAAAGCACGGGCUAAUACGGG
rnacentral:rRNA from 1 species